UCUCUUUAACCUAACUUUCUUGUGGUGAGAUUUAAGGAGAGAAGGUUUGUAUCUAUUAUUUUGAUUAUGGUUACAAUGUAUUCUUAGGAAGCAUGGUGGGCCCUCUAAUAACAGUAACUGUUAUUCAUGGCACUCGUUAAUGUGGUAUAUUUAUUAGCUUAAUUUUCAUAUUGAAAAUUUUCCAUUUUUUCCCCU
rnacentral:lncRNA from 1 species